rnacentral:rRNA from 1 species
GAUGAACGCUGACAGAAUGCUUAACACAUGCAAGUCAACUUGAACUUCGGUUUGGGUGGCGGACGGGUGAGUAACGCGUACAGAACUUGCCUCACAGAUAGGGACAACAUUUGGAAACGAAUGCUAAUACCUGAUAUUAUGAUUAUAUGGCAUCGUAUAAUUAUGAAAGCUAUAUGCGCUGUGAGAGAGCUUUGCGUCCCAUUAGCUAGUUGGAGAGGUAACGGCUCACCAAGGCGAUGAUGGGUAGCCGGCCUGAGAGGGUGAUCGGCCACAAGGGGACUGAGACACGGCCCGUACUCCUACGGGAGGCAGCAGUGGGGAAUAUUGGACAAUGGACCAAGAGUCUGAUCCAGCAAUUCUGUGUGAACGAUGAAGUUUUUCGGAAUGUAAAGUGCUUUCAGUUGGGAAGAAAAAAAUGACGGUACCAACAGAAGAAGUGACGGCUAAAUACGUG